UACGAAGGGGGCUAGCGUUGCUCGGAAUCACUGGGCGUAAAGCGCACGUAGGCGGCUUUCUAAGUCAGGGGUGAAAUCCUGGAGCUCAACUCCAGAACUGCCUUUGAUACUGGAAAGCUUGAGUUCGGGAGAGGUGAGUGGAACUGCGAGUGUAGAGGUGAAAUUCGUAGAUAUUCGCAAGAACACCAGUGGCGAAGGCGGCUCACUGGCCCGGUACUGGCGCUGAGGCACGAAAGCGUGGGGAGCAAACAGG
rnacentral:rRNA from 1 species